rnacentral:rRNA from 1 species
CCUACGGGGGGCAGCAGUGAGGAAUAUUGGUCAAUGGACGAGAGUCUGAACCAGCCAAGUAGCGUGAAGGAUGACUGCCCUAUGGGUUGUAAACUUCUUUUAUAAAGGAAUAAAACGAGGCACGUGUGCCUUUUUGCAUGUACUUUAUGAAUAAGGAUCGGCUAACUCCGUGCCAGCAGCCGCGGUAAUACGGAGGAUCCGAGCGUUAUCCGGAUUUAUUGGGUUUAAAUGGAGCGUAGAUGGGUUGUUAAGUCAGUUGUGAAAGGUUGCGGCUCAACCGUAAAAUUGCAAUUGAUACUGGCAGUCUUGAGUACAGUUGAGGUAAGCGGAAUUCGUGGUGUAGCGGUGAAAUGCUUAGAUAUCACGAAGAACCCCGAUUGCGAAGGCAGCUUACUAAACUGUGACUGACAUUGAUGCUCGAAAGUGUGGGUAUCAAACAGGAUUAGAUACCCCAGUAGUC